UGGGGAAUAUUGGGCAAUGGGCGCAAGCCUGACCCAGCAACGCCGCGUGAAGGAAGAAGGCUUUCGGGUUGUAAACUUCUUUUGUCAGGGACGAGUAGAAGACGGUACCUGACGAAUAAGCCACGGCUAACUACGUGCCAGCAGCCGCGGUAAUACGUAGGUGGCAAGCGUUGUCCGGAUUUACUGGGUGUAAAGGGUGCGCAGGCGGCGCGCCAAGUCAGCGGUCAAAGUUCCGGGCUCAACCCGGUGUCGCCGUUGAAACUGGCGUGCUCGAGUGCGUGCGAGGAAGGCGGAAUGCGUUGUGUAGCGGUGAAAUGCAUAGAUAUGACGCAGAACUCCGAUUGCGAAGGCAGCUUUCCAGCGCGCUACUGACGCUGAGGCACGAAAGCGUGGGGAUCGAACAGGAUUAGAUACCCUGGUAGUU
rnacentral:rRNA from 1 species